rnacentral:tRNA from 1 species
AGGGAUGGGCCACGGCAGUAGAGCUUCUGCUUGCUGUGCAGAAGGUCUUGGGUUCAAUCCCCAGCAUUUCCA